rfam:Xenopus tropicalis strain Nigerian scaffold_5354_contig_1, whole genome shotgun sequence.
AGCUCAGUACUAGAGCAUUUGACUGAAGAUCAAGAGGUCCCCAGUAUAAAUCUGGG